rnacentral:rRNA from 1 species
UACGGGGGGGGCAAGCGUUGUUCGGAAUUACUGGGCGUAAAGGGCUCGUAGGCGGCCAACUAAGUCGGAUGUGAAAUCCCCAGGCUUAACCUGGGAACUGCAUCCGAUACUGGAUGGCUUGAAUUCGGGAGAGGGAUGCAGAAUUCCAGGUGUAGCGGUGAAAUGCGUAGAUAUCUGGAGGAAUACCGGUGGCGAAGGCAGCCUCCUGGGCCAACACUGACGCUCAUGCACGAAAGCGUGGGGAGCAAACAGG